AGAGUUUGAUCAUGGCUCAGAUUGAACGCUGGCGGCAGGCUUAACACAUGCAAGUCGAGCGGAGAGAGGUAGCUUGCUACUGAUCUUAGCGGCGGACGGGUGAGUAAUGCUUAGGAAUCUACCUAUUAGUGGGGGACAACAUUUCGAAAGGAAUGCUAAUACCGCAUACGUCCUACGGGAGAAAGCAGGGGAUCUUCGGACCUUGCGCUAAUAGAUGAGCCUAAGUCGGAUUAGCUAGUUGGUGGGGUAAAGGCCUACCAAGGCGACGAUCUGUAGCGGGUCUGAGAGGAUGAUCCGCCACACUGGGACUGAGACACGGCCCAGACUCCUACGGGAGGCAGCAGUGGGGAAUAUUGGACAAUGGGCGCAAGCCUGAUCCAGCCAUGCCGCGUGUGUGAAGAAGGCCUUAUGGUUGUAAAGCACUUUAAGCGAGGAGGAGGCUACUUUAGUUAAUACCUAGAGAUAGUGGACGUUACUCGCAGAAUAAGCACCGGCUAACUCUGUGCCAGCAGCCGCGGUAAUACAGAGGGUGCAAGCGUUAAUCGGAUUUACUGGGCGUAAAGCGCGCGUAGGCGGCUAAUUAAGUCAAAUGUGAAAUCCCCGAGCUUAACUUGGGAAUUGCAUUCGAUACUGGUUAGCUAGAGUGUGGGAGAGGAUGGUAGAAUUCCAGGUGUAGCGGUGAAAUGCGUAGAGAUCUGGAGGAAUACCGAUGGCGAAGGCAGCCAUCUGGCCUAACACUGACGCUGAGGUGCGAAAGCAUGGGGAGCAAACAGGAUUAGAUACCCUGGUAGUCCAUGCCGUAAACGAUGUCUACUAGCCGUUGGGGCCUUUGAGGCUUUAGUGGCGCAGCUAACGCGAUAAGUAGACCGCCUGGGGAGUACGGUCGCAAGACUAAAACUCAAAUGAAUUGACGGGGGCCCGCACAAGCGGUGGAGCAUGUGGUUUAAUUCGAUGCAACGCGAAGAACCUUACCUGGCCUUGACAUAGUAAGAACUUUCCAGAGAUGGAUUGGUGCCUUCGGGAACUUACAUACAGGUGCUGCAUGGCUGUCGUCAGCUCGUGUCGUGAGAUGUUGGGUUAAGUCCCGCAACGAGCGCAACCCUUUUCCUUAUUUGCCAGCGAGUAAUGUCGGGAACUUUAAGGAUACUGCCAGUGACAAACUGGAGGAAGGCGGGGACGACGUCAAGUCAUCAUGGCCCUUACGGCCAGGGCUACACACGUGCUACAAUGGUCGGUACAAAGGGUUGCUACCUAGCGAUAGGAUGCUAAUCUCAAAAAGCCGAUCGUAGUCCGGAUUGGAGUCUGCAACUCGACUCCAUGAAGUCGGAAUCGCUAGUAAUCGCGGAUCAGAAUGCCGCGGUGAAUACGUUCCCGGGCCUUGUACACACCGCCCGUCACACCAUGGGAGUUUGUUGCACCAGAAGUAGCUAGCCUAACUGCAAAGAGGGCGGUUACCACGGUGUGGCCGAUGACUGGGGUGAAGUCGUAACAAGGUAGCCGUAGGGGAACCUGCGGCUGGAUCACCU
rnacentral:rRNA from 1 species